rnacentral:lncRNA from 1 species
CUUAUCUGUACUCUCUGCCUUCAACUUCUCUCCAGUCUUUGCAGAUGUCUGCCUCAACACCAAAAAUGAGUUCAACACUAGUGCAUUUUAGCCACCCAAAACACUCCCUUGUACUAAAAGAUUUUGAUGUUGUUGGAGAUGAUGCUACAUGCCAUGUUUGUGACACAAGUGUUAUAGGCUCUCCAACAUAUACUUGUAGUGAUGAUAAUACUAAGUGUGAAGGUUUCUAUCUCCACAAGACUUGUGCAGAAUUAAGCACUCCAAUUACUUUCUAUAAGCACAACCAGCACCCCUUGAUCCUCUGUCCGGUUAAAGGGUCUUGUGAUGUUUGUUAUAAUCGUGUUGAGAAAUUCGCUUAUUUAUGUUCUGAUGAUUGUGAAUUUGUUGUGUGUGUGUUUUGCGCUUUUCAACAGAGAGCACUUGAUCAUCCAGGUCAUGAGCAGCACACGCUAACAUUGGUGCCCAGGGAAUCGUUAUUUGCUUGUGAUGCUUGUUCGGAAGAAGCUAAAGACUCUUCGUAUAUAUGCACCACUUGUGACUUUUGGAUUCACAAAAAAUGUGCUCUUUCGCCUUUAACAAUCCCCAAUCCUUCUUACCACCAUCAUCCUCUUGAUCUUAUCUACUCCAUUCCUAAAAUGCAUCGCUAUUUCACACGAUAUUGCAAUAUAUGUCACAAACGGGUUAUGAGAGAAGCCUGGCUGUAUUAUUGUCAUAAAUGUACAUAUUUCGUGCAUGUGAAAUGUGCUACAUCCUCACAUUCAUCACCUUCUGAGUAAGUACUUUGAACUCUUGGUUUUUUUUGGUGCCAUUUUGAUAAUCUGUUUUUCUAUUGUCAUGAUCUAAUGUCUUGAGUACUGCCAUGGCUUAACUAAUUCCGAACUUUUGCAGAAAUGAGAAUGAAGAAGAGGGCACUCCUAAUGAACCAGAUUUAGUAGAGUUUCCUCUGCCUACCGAAGAAUUGCUAUUUGAUCUGAUAAUAUCCCAGUGUUGCAAGCUCCAAGUUGAAUCUCAAGGUAAAGAUGAAAACACUAAUCCUAUAUCAACAGCUCCUGAUCCUCCCAUAAUUAAUCAACACUGGAGUCAUAUGGAGCAUCCACUAGUACACUUCCAGUUCACUACUAGUGAGAAUGAUGACAACGAAAAUAAUUAUAAGAGAAGAGAGUUGAUAUGCGAUGGUUGCAUUCAACCCAUAACUAUUUUCCAUCCAUCUUACUAUGCUUGUAUGAAAUGUGGUUUCUUUCUUCACUCCUUUUGUUCCACUAAGUUGCCAGCAGUAUUGCUAGCAGGAGUAUGUCCUGCUCAUCCCCAACAUUCGCUUCUUCUUUCCCAGAAAAACUACUUCUAUACUUUUGCAAAAUGUGAAAUUUGCUGUUACAGAACAAAUGGAUUCUACUUUCUUUGUGAGACGUGUGAUAUUAGAAUUGAUAUACGUUGUGCAUUCUUACCCACCAAGAUAAAGCAUAAAUCGCACAAGCACCAUUCCCUUGUUCAACGUCCAACCUCCAAUUUUAAAUGCAGUGCGAGUGGUUAUGAUUUUACAAGUCGUACACAAUAUGGAUGUGAAACUUGCAGUAACUUUCAUAUAGAUAUAGCAAGUGCAUUUUAUCCUGGUAGGAUGAAACACAGAUACGAUGAUCACCCUGUAACCUUGAGACAACCUCCAUUCUUCUACGAGGGAGUAUUCUAUUGUGAAAUAUGUGAAGACCAAGUUAAUAAUCAAUGGUGGCUCUAUCACUGUGAGGAAUGCGAUCAUUCUUUUCACAAUAAUUGCCUUCUUUGGGAUGGAAGUGUCAAGUUAGGAAGGAACAUUGAACUUGAUAUCAACGACCAACCACACACACUUACCUUGGUGGUGAAGUGUCGUAUAAAAAAGACCCAACCCAAGUACAACUGUAGAUAUUGUGGGAACAGCUUUAUCUGGAAUUACUUUUUGGAAUGUGAUGGGUGUGGAUAUCUUAUCUGCUGUCUCUGUGUUAGUGAAGUCAAGGCGAGUAACAAGUCCAUACACUUUUGAUGAUGGAGUGAGGUUGCCAGGCGAUUUGGGACGAGCAAAAAGGCUUGGAGAAUUUUAUUCGUUACUUAUGUUUUUGGCCUGAGAAAUACACAGACCCUCCUGGGCAGAGAAAUUGGCAAGGCAACCCACUUAUCUUCAUGUAUGGAACCCCUAUGUUUUAUAUUAUGUUCAUUAAAGUGUUGUUUUGUUUAAUGUAAUAUGAGGACUUAAAGCUGUUUCCAGUUGUAAGCCAAAAAAUGUAUGUUUCUGUAAUAAGAAGCCGACUUAAAGUAAAAAAUAAGCCAGAAACUGACUUAAAGUCAGAAGUUAGUUUAAGGGUAACAUCCCAAAAGAUGAAAACAGCUCCUGAUCCUCCCAUAAUUAAAGAACACUACCAGUAAAAAUGACAACGCCCAGUCGCCCACAAUAACUAAAAUAGAAGAGUGUCGAUUUGCAUUUAACAGUAGUAUUGCUAGCAGGAGACAGGAGUGUCUCCCCUUAAUCCCCAACAUUCACUUGUUCUUUACUUGUUUGGAUCUGUUAUUUUGCCAAGUGUGAAGUUUGUGGCUACCACACAAAUGGAUUCUGCUACCUCUGUAAGACACUAAGACACUAGACCUGUUAUAUUAGGAUUGAUAUGCGUUGUGCAUUCUUACUCUUGGGAAGAGCAAAUGCAAAAUGACUUUGGAGCAAGUUUACCUGUCAUGUUUUAGUUUAAAUAAAAUAAUUAGUCGUUAUUUGUUUUUAUGAAUAACAUAAUUUUGUUCAAUUAAAGUUUGGUUUGUUUAUUAUAAUAUUUUGUUUAUGUAUGUGUUUGUUUAGUAUAAAUAUUAAUCAGAUUCCCAAUUUGUUUUGGAAAAUAUGGUAAAAUAGUGUUCUUAUUUCUGCUGUGUGAUUUCAUUUUCUCCGUAAACUUUUUCUUGCUUAUAUGAGAUUAUAGUAAUAAUUAAGAGAAUAGAGAAGUAGUAACUAUUAUUUUACAUUCUUUUAUAUAUAAUUCAGUUGAAAUGAACUUCAGUUCGAAAAAAACUAAACCUCAUCAACAAAACAAACAGUCUUCAUGGCAGAGAAAUUGGGACCUGAAAAACGACACAGCUUCCUCCACGGCAGUAUGUUCUCAAUCUCUUCCUCCUCUUUAUCUAUCAUCACAUAUAUACACAAGUACCAUCUUUCUUAUAUGUCCAUUUAUUAGGAUUAAAACAGCUCAACUAAAGCUUGUAUUGUUAUGAUUAAAAUUCAGCCAGAAGGUGUUUGAAUGGAUCAAACACUUGAAGAAGUGAAUAUGUGCAUAAUUUUUGCUUCAUUUUGAUGUUUUGUGAUGAUCCUUUUGUUGUUUUUCGCAGCAUGAUUUGUAUUCUCAUGUAAAGACUGGUUCUUUAUUUUGGACUAUAGGUGUGUGUGCUAUGUGUUUAAGUUUUAUGUUAAUUGUUCAGAGCGGAAUUUUUUGAUGUUGGUUUUUGGUUGUUAGUAAUGGAUUUUUGUGAUUGGCAGAGGAUUUUUGUGACAAGGGGCAGGCUUGGCCUUCUCCUAUACAGGGUCAGGGUCAGGGUAAGCUUGAUCCUAUGGCAGGGGAUAUGGAGCACAAGCACCUCAUGCUUCAGAGGUUUCAGGAAGAGGUAAAUUAGCUGUCUGUGUUGUACAUGUCAUUUUAAUGUAGUCUUGAAGACAAGUGUUGUUGUGUGGAAGUGGAACAUCCCUUUGCCACUUAAUAGCAAAGGUUCUGUUAUGAACCUGUGGUACUAGCCACAAACACAAGUUAUUUAAGCAUGUUGGGCCCCCUAAUAAAAAAAAUUACUAGUAUAUUUUUUAAAUUUAUAUGUUAAGUUUGUGUUUAUUUUACUUAGUAUCCUUAAAAUAAUUACAUAACUCUCAAAAAUAGAAUAACAAAUUCCUAACUUCCAUUCAAAUAUCAUAUAAUACAUCAAAUUUUAGUUACUUAAGCGGUUCAAAAAUUUUAUGAUUCAAAAUUGGUGAUAUUUAUAUUUUUGGCCUUAAAAUUUGAUUAAUUUUUAGUCUCUGUAUACAUUUAUUUUAAACCCUUCCUUCGAUAAUACCGUUAUGUUAUAUUAUGCCCCCAGAUUAAUAUGUCUGGAUCCACCACUGCUUUAAUGCGACAUGUAUAUCCUAAGCUAAGUUGUAACUAUUUAGAUAAAAUCCUAAAGCGACAUGGACAAUUAUGUCGUUGCAGAAGUACUUUACUGUAAUUAUGUUGGAUGAUAAUUUGAAAGUUACUUAUUAUUAUAAAUUAUGUGUUGAUCCCUUUUGUAGAAAGCUAUAAGUUGCAGAGAGAAAGGAAGAAGAAAGAGUUUGUUAUGAAAACUGUAUUCUCUUGUGUUACAAACAAGACUGAAGAAAUGGACUUAUAUACAGAACUGUAUCCUCUAACCAACUAAUGUGCUAUGACAUAAUUACCCCUAACUUGUAACUACCUACUAGACUGUGCUUAUUGCUCCCUUUGAAUCUGAAUAAAUAAGUUAUCACGGACAAGGGUCCAUGGACCAUGAUGGUUCACAUGAGAGUUAUUUUCUUUCAUUGUAGUGCAUUGAUUAUCGUCAUAGCAGGACUUCUAGGGAGACUAAUUAUGUAUUAGUGGUAGGCGAUAUCAAACUGGAAUGACAUGUAAGAGCACAGGAAAUGCCCCAAAAUCAGGAUCCCCCUAGAGGAAAAAAGAAGAAGGUCAUCCGUGUAUCUGAUUGGUUCUAGCGACGGAUAACAUAAGGGGUCAGGAUGGAUUAAGCAAUGUCAAACCAAUUUCUUUUCAUCAUGCCAUGACUGAAAUCAUUUACUAGGUACUUUUACCAUUUCAAUGUAGCGAGGGAUAUCUGCUUUCUGACUUCAGUGUAGUGUUGUAAAUAUACCAGCAUAAAUCAUUUACUCCUUUAAGGUUAAGGAAGGUUUCCAGACGAUUUGGGAACAUCAAAAAGACUUUAGCGCAAUUUUAUCUGUCAUGUAUUGGUUUUAUUUAGUGUUGCAUUGUCUAAUAAUAUUAUAUCUUGUGUCUUUGCUGUCAUUUUUAUAAAUUGUUAUCGAUAUUGCUAAAGAAGUAUCUACCAACUGCCAAGACCUGGACCUCGUCUCUUGUUUAUGAAUUACUUUGUAGCCGUGGAGUUCAAUUUAGUUGGCACAGUAGGAGGACCUAACCUAUAUAGUUUUCAUUCUUUGGUGACAGACUCUACUCUUCUGCACCUCUGGUGUAGUAGUACAGUGCAGAUCCUGGGUCCUGUGAAUGAUUCAAUGAUUUAAGAUAGCAUGCCCAACCUUCAACAUCACAACAAAAUGGUGUAGAAAUCUGCAUUUUUGCCCUUCAUAAUUCUGACUCCUACUAAUCAGUAAUCACCAUCAUCGUCUUGCCAGUGGCCAGCCAAAAUUAGUCAUAUUAAUUUAUGCUAUGUUAUGUGUUAUUAUUAAAUGAAACUUAAAAAUGGUAAAAGGGGGAAAAGGAAAAGUAAAUGAAUAAAUGAAGACGAUGAAUAGAAGAAGAAAAAUAAACAAUAACGUGGGUGACCAUUAUCAUUAUGUGUUUGUGUUUGAAUGCCCAGUAAACACCCCCUUACUGGCCACAACUGCUUAGAUAACAAAUCUGAUACCACAUUCACAUUAUCUAGCUGAGUUUUAUGUAAUUUGUUCAUUUGUCAUUGGAGUUAGAAUAAGAUCUCACCGAUAUUCCUCUGAAUAAUAAAAUUUAUUCCUGUAACUAUGUCAGGAAUGUAAAGGAGCAUGAAAUAGAAAGAACAAAUACUACUAUUUCCAAAUGAAGUUUCUGAGUUCAUUCUGAGAUACAGUAGAAAACGUAUGGGUCAAUAUUAGUCUUUUUUCUGGAAUAGAGGAUCGAUCAGUCUCGACACUUUUAAUUUCUAGAAGCAGCUGGAUUCCAAGUCUUGUGAAGUGCUAAAAAAACUUGCAGAAAUUUUACAUAUGAUUAGCUACAGUUUGAGCAUAGGUAGCAUCAAUAAAACCAAUUUUCGACUUAGAUGAUUAUGAAAAAGUUUAGAGAUAGUUGAUCAAGAAUUACAGUAGUAAUAAUUCAUCCCUGGAUUAUCUGGGGGAUGCAAGUUAACGUCCAAGAUUGAACUUGUUGAGGUUGAUCCCGGGGUUGCAGCAGAGUAUGAAAAACUAAUUCUUUCCUAUACUAAACUUGGAAUACACGAUUAAAAAAAGCAAAAAGAAAAGGAAGAAUAAUAAAAAGAAAUGCCGAAUUUGGAAAAGGAAAAGAAAACACGGAAUAGUAAAAGAAAGUAAAUAGAAUAGACCGCACAAAUAGCAAGGAAAAAAAAAGAGAUGCGUGGGCACCAGUGAGAGGGAAAAGAAAAAGAAAAGAGAAGGAAAAUGAACUUGAAACUGAAGGAACAAAGAUCAUUGGCGUCCUUAAAUUGGUGUCCUAGGUGUUAAUCAUCAUUACCAUCAGAUGUCUGCCUCAAUACCCGAAAUGAGUCUAACACUAGAGCAUUUUAGCCACCCAAAACACUCAUUAGUACUUAAAGAUUUUGAUGUUGUUGGAGAUGAUGCUAUAUGCCAUGUUUGCGACACAAGUGUUAUAGGCUCUCUAACAUAUACUUGUAGUCGUAGUAGUGAUGAUGCUGAGUGUCAAGGCUUCUACCUCCACAAGAGUUGUGCAGAAUUACCCACUCCAAUUACUUUCUAUAAGCACAACCACCACCCCUUGA